GUCCGGAGGCUCCAGGUCAGCGGCAGGGCGGAGGCGGAGCGGCCCCGGACUCGGUAACUCCGGAAGGGAUGGGGAUCCCCCAGUCUGCAAGGGAUUUGCAUGUAUUUGCCUAAGUUAUGCAUCCGUGCUGACUCCCUGCCUAUAUAUAGUUGCAAUGAAAUAACUUCAUCCUUUUAAACAGUGAGAUGGGGGCUAUUUUGAGGUAGCCAAAGGUUACCCCUUCAUGUAUCAUGCAUGCAAAGCUGUACGGAGAAUUACACGAUGACGAAAGCCAUCCGACAACCACACGGGAUCCGGAGAAAAGUCUCUUCGCCUUCCCCACCGCUGGUGCAGUUUUCUCACCUUGUAAAGCCAGGAAAUGAGACCUCUCCCACUUUACAAGGGCCAAAUAGUGAGGCGCCCCGCAGGCUGAGAAGCCACCCUUAUUGGCGACUGGGAGCUUCAUUCAGCUGCUUUCAAACGUGAGCAGCAUCCUGCAGCCUCUUGAGGGUUUAAUUCAAUUCAGCAAGUGCUUAUUGAACAGCUACUCCAUGCAGGGAAAGGGGAACCCGAGCCCUAACAAUGCCUGAGUACUUCAAUUGUGUUAGCAUGUGCCAACCCAGGAGGUCGCAAGUGAUGGGUACACAGACUAUUUUAAGCUCCCAAAGGGAAGGUAUGGAAGCCGUGAGUCAGCUGAUCCAGGAGAUCCAAGUGUUCUAGGAAACUAAGCCAGGUAGAAAUAUUCUAGCCAUCCGACAGUGGGAACACAUCACAACCGUGACCAGAGGUGCAUCUCCUGACGGCCAGGCCUCAAGAUAAAGACGGCGUGACCAGGCCUCGCGGCUCCCCGAGGACAAGGACUCCUUGUCUCCAAGUGCAGAGAGCCUCCUCCGUAUGACCCAGAGAGAUGAGCCCAAACCAGUCCAAGUUACUUCGUGCUCAGAGGAACUGAGGCCUUUCUCUGCCCGGAGGUGCAGCGACUCUCAAGGCAGAGCCUGACUGGUUCUUCGGCCACCUCUGAUGCCAGGGGAUGGAGUAUUCCAAUCAGCCAGCCUCGUCUGCUGCCUUGCCUGACUCUGCGGAGCAGGUGGCGGAACCACUGAGCCAAAUCCCCAGCCCUCUUUCUGAAAACUUACAUCAAACAGAAGGUGAAGCCCGACUCGAGUAACCAGAAGUCGAGGAAGAUCUGAGCCUGUGACUUGAAGGGACGAAGGGGAUCUGGCCAAGUACCCGAGAUCGAACUCAGGACCUUGCACUUGCAAGGCAGGCACAGCGCCACUGAGCUACAUCCCCAGCCCAACACAAAUAGAUCUUACACAACUGCCAUCGAGUGAAUAAAGAAGGAGUGAGAUUCAGCGUACACAGCCAGUCACACGAGCUGAGAACACUCAUCUGUGACACACGCAUCUUUGGUGACGCUCCAUCCGCAGGUGGAGGGCAGCCUAGAAGGUCGUGUUUAAGGCACUGAGCUUGCAUGUCUCCUGGAUCACUGCUGUCAAACCUUCCUUCUACCCUGGGACGCUCAGGAGCUUCCUCUCUGUGCCCACGGCCCCAGGCUCAUCGCUCUGGCUGGAUUCAUUUCCAACUUUACUCUGCUGCCCAAGCACCCAUCCACUGGGAGAACACAGUCAUUUUCAGAACCUGCUCUGUAUUCUGAUGUGACGUCCAGCCUCUCGUGACCAGGUCUGGAGUUUGCACACACACACAAAAAGAAUCCUCCUCUCAGCCCAACUCUGCUGCAUCAGAGAAAGGGACAUGUUGGUAUUUCCACAGCAGCGUGGGGAGCCAGGAUUCCACGGAAGCUGAGCCAGGAAAGCUGGGACCCUAACCUUUGCACCUGGUUCUGCCCUCCUGCUGGGAGCAGGUGCAAGGGCAGAGAGUUGCAGGCUUGCUAGGAAAGGGUUCUGACCGUGCGAGGGAGGGAAGGGUGAGAUGCUCAUUCAGCAGAUACUGUCCACAUGCCUACUAUGUCCCAGGCACUGUUCUGGGCAUGGCUGACUGGGUAUAAAACAGGCCAGGUCCCUGCCCUCGUGGAGCUAUGGCCACAGCUCAUCCCAGGGCGGAACUGGCCGAGGCCUGAGGAACAGCUCCUGAGCUAGAGAGGGAAUGUGAGGGAGGUUCGCUGAGCCACACCUUGGCUGUGUGGCGGGGAGGGAGACAGGGGUGGUGAUCCCCUCAGCCUCUUUCCCAGAGAGUCAGUCGGCAGCGAGGGUCAUGGCGCUGACUGGAAAGAUGACUGGCGGGGAUGCCAAGUCUCCUCCCUCCACCUCCUAGAGGACACGGACCCGGGCUCCAAAGUUCUAGGUAGACGACAGGUAAUCGGAGAAGCUGUGGGAUGCAACCAGUCACGGUCAAACUAGGUUAAACUGCACCAAGCAAUGCGUUGGAAAGCUCAAGCAGAAAGCCUGAUCCAUGUCAUGCUCAGUACACAACUUCCUUGUCAUCACUGGACAAUGUUUCCAAUUCAAACGCCUCAUUAAUCAUUCAUAACACCACGGAGAGGAACAAGACUCAGAAAACCUGAAGUUGUAGAAGCUUUGCUGUACCCUGGUUUCCGUUCAGACAGCCACACAUCUCACCCUCUGCUGGGAAAAGGCAGGCAACAUCCCUGGGAAUUCUCUCUGCCCGUUUAGGCUUUUAAUUCAGAUCACCCCAUGCCUUCAGAUGUCCUUGGAAAGUACGAGGGUCUCCUGUCCUAGCUGCCACACUUAGCACCCUAAUUCUCGCUUUCCCUUGGCUGCGUUGCAAAGGCCCUACUUGGCAAGCAUCCGUCAAGAUGCCAGAGACCUCUCCCUGCGCCCAUCCUGCGUCCUGGCGCCUGAUCUCAGGCCCUGGCCUUGGCUGCCUCCUCUCCACCCCUCAUCUGCCCUUCAUUUCCCACAAAUGGAUCUGCCCCUCGUGACGUCCUAGCACCCACAGAUAGAGGCGCUGAUGCGAACGCAGCCUUUGUGUAUUGUCAUCGUUUGAACAGCACGGAGAACAGCGAGCUUACGCCCUGUGGAAUGUCACCACAGCCCAGGUCACCGAUCGCCCCCACCUCCGGGAGGACUUUUGAACAUGUGCCAAGCUCUUUCCUGCGCAGGCUACAGUUUUCCCCAAUCCCAGAGAGUGAGAAAAAGUAAAGACAAUGUCUGUUUGUGAGGUUGGGGGUAGAAGGAUGGCGAGGAGAUGGGGAACAGAAGUUAAUAUUUUGAAGUGUUGGGCUGGGGAUGCAGCUCAGUUUGGAACACUUGUCUAGCAUGUGCAAGUCCCUGGGUUCCUCCCCUGGCACAGCAAAUUAAUGUUUAAAAAUUCAGAAGGAGGGUCAUGCAUCCCUUCACAGCAGGAAUACAUUCUGAGGAAUGGGUGCUGUGCUAUGGGACCCAACACAGAAUGUAUUUUCAAGACGCGGGUGUUGUAGGUCAGUCACUGUACAUGGUCUCUUUUGAUGCAAUCUAGAGACACCGUAAACACAAGCUGUACGGCUCUGCUGCCGGAGCACACAGCAGACUCUUUCACAGGAUUUGUUUGUUUGUUUUUGGUAUUACGGAUCAAACU